GCGUAACACGUGAGCAACCUGCCUUUGGUGGUGGGGGAGUAGCCGGGCUAACGCCCCGGGGUAAUACCGCAUACGGUUGCCGAGGGGAGUCCCUUGGCAAAGAAACCUCCGGGGCACAGAGAGGGGCUCGCGGCCUAUCAGCUAGUUGGUGAGGUAAUGGCUCACCAAGGCGACGACGGGUAGCUGGUCUGAGAGGAUGGCCAGCCACAUUGGGACUGAGAUACGGCCCAG
rnacentral:rRNA from 1 species